GUUCUCUUCAUCUUCUUGGUCUUUUUUCAUUUUCUCGGUUGUGUUCUCUAAUCAUAGAUAUAAGAGAGUCCUUUUACAACAGAAACUAGGAAUAUCCUGUUGACGAUCUGACAGUGCAUAUCCAGUUAUGGUUAUCUCUCAUUGAAAGGUAUUCAUUAUAAACUUCUUCAUAUGGUGGUUUCUGGAUGAUAAAAAGGUUGUCUGCUAAGCUGAUAACUACAACUAUUAUUCAUAGGAAAUGAUGAAUUCAAACGUGCUUAUGCACAUAUUGUAGAUAAAAGAAUCCUAUUAUAUAUGCAUAGCGAUGCACAUAAAUAUGUUUGCAUUGAUUAUUUAUUUCAUACACCUAUGUAGAGAUAACAUAUUCUGUUGUGUUA